rnacentral:lncRNA from 1 species
AAUUAGCAUUUAAGCCCUGAGUAUCAGUGAAGAAAAAAGAAACUUUAUUCCAUAUAUUCUUUAUAAUUUUGUCAGCAUUUUUUGUUUAUACUUGUCAAAGGUUGUCCACACUUAUAUUGAGAUCUCCAUUUCUCAUUUAAUAUUGCUUUCCUAUCAGAGGUAACUAAGUGUCUUUUGAUAAACCAUGAGUUGCAUAUAUAUGAAUUAAAGUUAAAUAGGAGGGGAAUAAUGGGAGUCAAUGCUCCCAAGCUCAGAUUACUAUGAAAAAUUCUGGAGAUAUAUGAUCAAGAACUAGUCCCAUAUUCUCUAGGAUGAAGUGCAACACACUUCUUUACAGCCAACUAAUCUUUAUUUAUAAAUCACUCCAGUCAGAGGCUCCAAAAUUGAAUUCAUAUACUAGAUUGAUAGAUUAAAUUAUAUAAUGUCAUUUGAAAGGUAAAACAGCUUAUAUAUACAUGAAAUACAAAUUAUUCACAACUUAGAUUCCAAAUUUUUGAAGACAUAAGAGCUGCAAUAUAAUAAUGUAGAGUUGUAUAAUAAUGUAAGAGCUGCAAUAUAAUAAUGAAUUUUUUCACUUUGAUUAAUAAAUUUGUUCUGGGAAAACAAUGAACCUAUGAAAUGACAUAACUCAAGGCAGUGUAAGUCAAGGAAUUUCUCUGUUCUGACCAUUUGUGCAUAAGGGCAGCUUUAAGGUCAACAAAGCUUCUGGGAGGAAGAAUGAGAACAGCUAUCUGUUUUCCUAGAGCAUUGCAUGUAUUAUCAUUUCAAUUUAAAUCUGAAGUUCUGGCUAGCCAGUUCAUUCACUCAGUUUUCUGUUUAUCAAGAUAUUGAUUCACAAACCUUUGUGAGCAUUGUCAUCUAUCAAUAUGAAUCUGGAUCCACUGCAUUUGCAAAUGGAAAAACAUAUAAUUUAAGGUACCAUCUCUACAAUAAUAACUGUUUGGGAUACCUUCCUCAGAGAUAUGAAGAUCUGUACAAUCAUUGAUGUAAUCCUUGCCUAUACCAAUUGUUUCCAUCUCUAAAACGAUUGAUUUCUCUAAUGUUUGAUGGUUGAUAUUAUACAAAUUCUCUCCAAAUAAAAAUCUUUCUGUAAUCAAAUUACAGACUGAAUCUGAACUCAUUUGCAAUCAGAAUAUAGCUCUAUAUGUCAAUGUCCCAAAUAAUAUAUUGACAAGACCAAUUUGAAUGUAUUCAUUUCUGAAAUGUACAAAGUGAUGUAGGCUGUUGAUCUCAUAGCAUAAAGGCCUACUUCAUAUUAAACUUUUUGGUUAUAGUUUAUUUUAAUUUUCCUUUCGAUGGUUUCAAUAAAUUUAGAAACAAGGCAUAUUUAUAUGAUGCUUAACAGCUGUUUGCAGGUAAUGUUAAUUCUCGAGAUCUUGUUUCAUGGGUAGCAGGCCUUCUACUGAUAUAUGCUGAAACCUCUUCCAUAGCCUUGAUAUUAUCAAAUUUGACAUGCUUGACUGAAUCCCAUACAUCCAAUCAGUAGUAUGCCAUCACAAAGUAUCAAAUAAAUGAUAUCUUUUAAACAGUUUCUAAAAUUUGGCUGUUCCAGAAUUACAGAUAAAAAAUCCAGAAAUGGAAAACAACCAGAUUACUGAAAAAACAAUUUUUAUAGAAACUCUAGAUUUACAUAUUUCCAAAAGCAUAUAACAUUUUUGCAGUGGCUAUUAGAGAGGGAGGCAAGAGGGGUAGUUGUCCCAGGCCUCAUGAUUUUAGGGGCCUCAAUUGUACUCAGUAUGUUAGAAAAAAUAUUUUUAUGUAUUUUUAUUUUGUUUGAACUU